CAGUAUAGAUCUACUAUAUCCCUAUAGGUCUACCAGACGACUAGAUCUACUAUAUCCCUAUAGGUCAACCAGACGACUCCAGUAUAGAUCUACUAUAUCCCUAUAGGUCAACCAGACGACUCCAGUAUAGAUCUACUAUAUCCCUAUAGGUCUACCAGACGACUAGAUCUACUAUAUCCCUAUAGGUCUACCAGACGACUCCAGUAUAGAUCUACUAUAUCCCUAUAGGUCUACCAGACGACUCCAGUAUAGAUCUACUAUAUCCCUAUAGGUCUACCAGACGACUAGAU